GAUGAACGCUGGCGGCGUGCCUAAUACAUGCAAGUCGAGCGAACAGAUAAGGAGCUUGCUCCUUUGACGUUAGCGGAGGACGGGUGAGUAACACGAGGGUCACCCACCUAUCAGACUGGGAAAACUUCGGGACACCGGCGAUAAUCCCGGAUAACAUUCGGCACCGUAUGGUUCUAAAGUGAAAGAUGGCUUUGCUAUAACUUAUAGAUGCACCCGCGCCGUUUUAGCUAGUUGGUACGGUAACGGCUUACCAAGGCGACGAUACGUAGCCGACGUGAGAGGGGGAUCGGCCACACGAGAACGGGAACACGGUCCUGGCUCCUACGGGAGGCAGCAGUAGGGAAUCUUCCGCAGUGGGGGAAAGCCUGACGGAACAACGCGGCGCGAGAUGUGGAGGCGUUCGGCGCGGAAAACUCGGUUAUUAGGGAAGAACAGAUUUGGAAGUAACUGAGCACGUCUUGACGGUACCUAGUCAGAAAGCCACGGCUAACUACGUG
rnacentral:rRNA from 1 species